AUGAACGCUAGCUACAGGCUUAACACAUGCAAGUCGAGGGGAAACGACAUCGAAAGCUUGCUUUUGAUGGGCGUCGACCGGCGCACGGGUGAGUAACGCGUAUCCAACCUGCCCACCACUUGGGGAUAACCUUGCGAAAGUAAGACUAAUACCCAAUGAUAUCUCUAGAAGACAUCUGAAAGAGAUUAAAGAUUUAUCGGUGAUGGAUGGGGAUGCGUCUGAUUAGCUUGUUGGCGGGGUAACGGCCCACCAAGGCAACGAUCAGUAGGGGUUCUGAGAGGAAGGUCCCCCACAUUGGAACUGAGACACGGUCCAAACUCCUACGGGAGGCAGCAGUGAGGAAUAUUGGUCAAUGGACGAGAGUCUGAACCAGCCAAGUAGCGUGCAGGAAGACGGCCCUAUGGGUUGUAAACUGCUUUUAUAAGGGAAUAAAGUGAGUCUCGUGAGACUUUUUGCAUGUACCUUAUGAAUAAGGACCGGCUAAUUCCGUGCCAGCAGCCGCGGUAAUACGGAAGGUCCGGGCGUUAUCCGGAUUUAUUGGGUUUAAAGGGAGCGUAGGCCGGAGAUUAAGCGUGUUGUGAAAUGUAGGCGCUCAACGUCUGCACUGCAGCGCGAACUGGUUUCCUUGAGUACGCACAAAGUGGGCGGAAUUCGUGGUGUAGCGGUGAAAUGCUUAGAUAUCACGAAGAACUCCGAUUGCGAAGGCAGCUCACUGGAGCGCAACUGACGCUGAAGCUCGAAAGUGCGGGUAUCGAACAGGAUUAGAUACCCUGGUAGUCCGCACGGUAAACGAUGGAUGCCCGCUGUUGGUCUGAAUAGGUCAGCGGCCAAGCGAAAGCAUUAAGCAUCCCACCUGGGGAGUACGCCGGCAACGGUGAAACUCAAAGGAAUUGACGGGGGCCCGCACAAGCGGUGGAGCAUGUGGUUUAAUUCGAAGCAACGCGAAGAACCUUACCAGGUCUUGACAUCGAUCUAAAAGGGAUGGAGACAUCCUCAUAGCUAUAGAGAAGACAGGUGGUGCAUGGUUGUCGUCAGCUCGUGCCGUGAGGUGUCGGCUUAAGUGCCAUAACGAGCGCAACCCUUAUCGAUAGUUACCAUCAGGUUAUGCUGGGGACUCUGUCGAGACUGCCGUCGUAAGAUGUGAGGAAGGUGGGGAUGACGUCAAAUCAGCACGGCCCUUACGUCCGGGGCUACACACGUGUUACAAUGGCAGGUACAGAGAGACGGUCCCUUGCAAAACGGAUCAAAUCCUUAAAGCCUGUCUCAGUUCGGACUGGGGUCUGCAACCCGACCCCACGAAGCUGGAUUCGCUAGUAAUCGCGCAUCAGCCAUGGCGCGGUGAAUACGUUCCCGGGCCUUGUACACACCGCCCGUCAAGCCAUGAAAGCCGGGGGCGCCUAAAGUCCGUGACCGUAAGGAGCGGCCUAGGGCGAAACUGGUAAUUGGGGCU
rnacentral:rRNA from 1 species